ACAAGCUUUUAAGAGCAGAUGGCGGAUGCCUUGCCAAAGAGAGGCGAUGAAGGACGUACUAGACUGCGAUAAGCUAUGCGGAGCUGUCAAGGAGCUUUGAUGCGUAGAUGUCCGAAUGGGGCAACCCAACUAAUAGAGAUAUUAGUUACUCUAAUUUAGAGAGCGAACCUAGUGAAGUGAAACAUCUCAGUAACUAGAGGAAAAGAAAUCAACGAGAUUCCCUAAGUAGUGGCGAGCGAACGGGGAAAAGGGCAAACCGAGUGCUUGCAUUCGGGGUUGAGGACUGCAACAUCCAAGAGAACGCUUUAGCAGAAUUACCUGGAAAGGUAAGCCAUAGAAAGUGAUAGCCUUGUAUGCGACAAGGCGUUCUUAGGUAGCAGUAUCCAGAGUAGGCCAGGACACGAGGAAUCCAGGUUGAAGCCGGGGAGACCACUCUCCAACCCUAAAUACUACUCUUUGAGCGAUAGCGAACAAGKACCGUGAGGGAAAGGUGAAAAGAACCGCAGUGAGCGGAGUGAAAUAGAACCUGAAACCAUCUGCUUACAAUCAUUCAGAGCCCUAUGAUUUAUCAGGGUGAUGGACUGCCUUUUGCAUAAUGAUCCUGCGRGUUGUGGUAUCUGGCAAGGUUAAGCGAAUGCGAAGCCGUAGCGAAAGCGAGUCUUAAUAGGGCGAACAAGUCAGAUGCUGCAGACCCGAAGCUAAGUGAUCUAUCCAUGGCCAAGUUGAAACGCGKGUAAUAGCGCGUGGAGGRCUGAACUCGUACCCAUUGAAACGGGUUGGGAUGAGCUGUGGAUAGGGGUGAAAGGCCAAACAAACUUAGUGAUAGCUGGUUCUCUUCGAAAUAUAUUUAGGUAUAGCCUCAAGUGAUAAUAAAAGGGGGUAGAGCCCUGAUUGGGCUAGGGCUGCUCGCCGCGGKACCAAACCCUAUCAAACUUCGAAUACCUUUUAUCGUAUCUUGGGAGUCAGGCGGUGGGUGAUAAAAUCAAUCGUCAAAAGGGGAACAACCCAGACUACCAAAUAAGGUCCCUAAGUUCUAUUCUGAGUGGAAAAAGAUGUGUGGCUACUCAAACAACCAGGAGGU
rnacentral:rRNA from 1 species